rnacentral:lncRNA from 1 species
AUGUGCACGUGUGUGUGUGCUCAUAUACAUGUGCGUGUGUGCAUGUGUGCUCGAGUCUGUGCGUGUGUACUCGUGUGUAUGCCCAUGCGACAGUGUGAGCAGGUGGAGAAGCAGCAGGAGAGGUGGGUGGAAGGGCCCUGGGGCAGCGUCGGGGAGGGCGGGGGAGGCGCCAGAGAAAGUCGGGGCACAGAGCUAGGGAUGAGUCACAGAGCAGGUGGGACUGGCCCGUGUGGACCCCAGCUGGGGCUGACUGGCUGUCGUGGUCAGUCAAGCUGCUUAGCACUGGAGGAGGUGUCACUGAGGCCUGGAGGCUCAUGGGCACCAGAGCAGCUGCUGACCCUGCAGCCACGUGUGCUGCUUUGGCCCACAGGCCAGGGCUGGGUUCCAGCCCCUGUUUGUCCCUCAGCCGAGGGCCCUUGUGCAGUGCACAACAUACCCAACUGCACUCGGGUGGUGGAAAGCCAAGGCACCUGGCCUGCCGCUCACAAGGCUGAGCUGCAGCUGGUCAGGCACAGGAAGGCGGCCGAGAGCUGGUGGCACCCAGUCCCGCCAGCUGCCCAGGCUCAGGACACGGGGUCCCAUCUAGCCAUGAGGGCCGAGGGGAAGCCAAGGGCAGAGUCCACGGUCCAGCUCACUGAGAGAAGCUGGGCAUCUGGGUUUGUAACAAGCAUCGCAAGAGAGUCAAUGUACACGUCCAGAGAGACAUCCGACCUCAGGCUUGGUGGGAACACGGGCAGAGAGCGAGAGAGACGGGGCACGCCCCUGGGAACACGGGGCAGAGAGCGAGAGAGACGGGGCACGCCCCUGGGAACACGGGCAGAGGGCGAGAGAGACGGGGCACGCCCCUGGGAACACGGGCAGAGGGCGAGAGAGACGGGGCACGCCCCUGGGAACACGGGCAGAGGGCGAGAGAGACGGGGCACGCCCCUGGGAACACGGGCAGAGGGCGAGAGAGACGGGGCACGCCCCCGGGUUGCACUCUGCCCCCGUCACCCCCUCCAUGCGGCCACCUUUGCAAACCACUCCCAGUUCUAUUGUGGAACAAGAUAA